rnacentral:rRNA from 1 species
CGCUGGCGGCGUGCUUAACACAUGCAAGUCGUACGAUGAUGCUUCAGCUUGCUGGGGUGGAUUAGUGGCGAACGGGUGAGUAACACGUGAGUAACCUGCCUUUCACUCUGGGAUAAGCCUUGGAAACGGGGUCUAAUACUGGAUAUGACUCAUUGCCGCAUGGUGGUGGGUGGAAAGCCUUUACGGUGGUGGAUGAUGGACUCGCGGACUAUCAGCUUGUUGGUGGGGUUGUGGCCUACCAAGGCUUUGACGGUUAGCCGGCCUGAGAGGGUGAUCGGCCACAUUGGGACUGAGACACGGCCCAGACUCCUACGGGAGGCAGCAGUGGGGAAUAUUGCACAAUGGGCGAAAGCCUGAUGCAGCGACGCCGCGUGGGGGAUGAAGGCCUUCGGGUUGUAAACUCCUUUCGCUCGUGACGAAGCCUUUGGGUGACGGUAGCGGGAGAAGAAGCACCGGCUAACUACGUGCCAGCAGCCGCGGUAAUACGUAGGGUGCGAGCGUUGUCCGGAAUUAUUGGGCGUAAAGAGCUUGUAGGCGGUUUGUCGCGUCUGCUGUGAAAGCCCGGGGCUUAACUCCGGGUCUGCAGUGGGUACGGGCAGGCUAGAGUGUGGUAGGGGAGACUGGAAUUCCUGGUGUAGCGGUGAAAUGCGCAGAUAUCAGGAGGAACACCGAUGGCGAAGGCAGGUCUCUGGGCCAUUACUGACGCUGAGAAGCGAAAGCAUGGGGAGCAAACAGGAUUAGAUACCCUGGUAGUCCAUGCCGUAAACGUUGGGCGCUAGGUGUGGGCCUCAUUCCACGAGGUCUGUGCCGUAGCUAACGCAUUAAGCGCCCCGCCUGGGGAGUACGGCCGCAAGGCUAAAACUCAAAGGAAUUGACGGGGGCCCGCACAAGCGGCGGAGCAUGCGGAUUAAUUCGAUGCAACGCGAAGAACCUUACCAAGGCUUGACAUACACCAGAUCGCAGCAGAGAUGUUGUUUCCUUUUGGUUGGUGUACAGGUGGUGCAUGGUUGUCGUCAGCUCGUGUCGUGAGAUGUUGGGUUAAGUCCCGCAACGAGCGCAACCCUCGUUCCAUGUUGCCAGCACGUAAUGGUGGGGACUCAUGGGAGACUGCCGGGGUCAACUCGGAGGAAGGUGGGGAUGAGGUCAAAUCAUCAUGCCCCUUAUGUCUUGGGCUUCACGCAUGCUACAAUGGCUGGUACAGAGGGUUGCGAUACCGCGAGGUGGAGCGAAUCCCUUAAAGCCAGUCUCAGUUCGGAUUGGGGUCUGCAACUCGACCCCAUGAAGUCGGAGUCGCUAGUAAUCGCAGAUCAGCAACGCUGCGGUGAAUACGUUCCCGGGCCU